ensembl:lncRNA
CUGCAGACUUCAAGUAUACACACAGCAAAGAAAAGGACUCGCCCACUACACUCCACACACUCACAGUGAAUUAGGGUCAAAACCACAUAGGACCGGGGAUUAGUUCCUGGACGUUGGGGGCACCGAUGCAGCAGACGGCCAGAGGGAACGUCACAGCCACGACAAGGCACCAGACUCCUUUUUCGCUGGUUCCGGCUCACCCACCAAUCCUAUUACGGUGGGGCCGCUCACACUGGUCACAACUCACAAGGGAUAUUCCACACUUGCAAAAUAACUGUUGACUCGAUGAAUAUUUCAGUGUACUCACACUUUCAUUAACACUGGAUCUCUCCACUUCUCUUCCAGAUAACCGACAUCCGACACAACUGGCAGCACGAUCUCCUUCCUGCAAUCCUAGCAGAUCUUCAAUGUGUGUUAACUUC